rnacentral:rRNA from 1 species
AUAUUGCGACAAUGGGCGAAAGCCUGACGCAGCAACGCCGCGUGCGGGAGUACGGCCUUCUGGUUGUAAACCGCUUCUCGAGGGGAAGAGGACGGACGGUACCCUCGGCAUAAGUCUCGGCUAACUACGUGCUAGCUGCCGCGGUAAAACGUAGGAGGCGAGCGUUAUCCGGAUUUACUGGGUGUAAAGCGCGUGCAGGCGGCCGUGCAGGUCGUGCGUGAAAGCGCCCGGCUCAACCGGGCGAGGUCGUGCGAGACUGCGGGGCUUGAGGCAGGUAGAGGCGUGUGGAAUUCCGGGUGUAGUGGUGAAAUGCGUAGAGGUCCGGAGGAACACCAGUGGCGAAGGCGGCACGCUGGGCCUGGCCUGACGCUCAGACGCGAAAGCAUGGGGAGCGAACGGG